AACGCACAUUGCGCCCCCUGGUAUUCCGGGGGGCAUGCCUGUCCGAGCGUCAUUGCAACCUUCAAGCGCGGCUUGUGUGUUGGGCCUCGUCCCCCGUGGACGGGCCCGAAAGGCAGUGGCGGCGUCCGAACUGGUGCCCGAGCGUAUGGGGUUCUUCUCCGCUCAACGUGGCCCGGCCGGCGCUGGUCGUAACCAAUUUCUUAACCGGUUGACCUCGGAUCAGGUAGGGAUACCCGCUGAACUUAA
rnacentral:misc_RNA from 1 species